UCGCUACUACCGAUUGAACGGUUUAAUGAGCUCCGAGGAUUUGUUGCUAGGUGGAAACACUUAGUGGUGAAGAGCAGGCGCAAAUUUGAUCGUUUAGAGGAAGUAA
rnacentral:rRNA from 1 species